rnacentral:tRNA from 1 species
GCCUGCGUGGCUCAGUCUGUUGAGUGUCUGACUUCGGCUCAGGUCAUGAUCUCACAGUUUGUGGGUUCGAGCCCCACAUCAGGCU